rnacentral:rRNA from 1 species
UACGAAGGGGGCUAGCGUUGUUCGGAAUUACUGGGCGUAAAGCGCGCGCAGGCGGUCUUCCAAGUCAGUGGUAGAAACGGCCCGGAGCUCAACUCCGGAACUGCCAUUGAAACUGUGAGACUUGAGGAUGAGAGAGGUGAGUGGAAUUCCCAGUGUAGAGGUGAAAUUCGUAGAUAUUGGGAAGAACACCGGUGGCGAAGGCGGCUCACUGGCUCAUUUCUGACGCUCAGGCGCGACAGCGUGGGGAUCAAACAGG